CCUACGGGAGGCAGCAGUGGGGAAUAUUGCACAAUGGGCGCAAGCCUGAUGCAGCCAUACCGCGUGUGUGAAGAAGGCCUUAGGGUUGUAAAGCACUUUCAGCAGUGAGGAAAGGUUGUUCAUUAAUACUGGACAGCUGUGACGUUAACUGCAGAAGAAGCACCGGCUAAUUCCGUGCCAGCAGCCGCGGUAAUACGGAAGGUGCAAGCGUUAAUCGGAAUUACUGGGCGUAAAGCGCGCGUAGGUGGUUCAGUCAGUCAGAUGUGAAAGCCCCGGGCUCAACCUGGGAACUGCACCUGAUACUGCUGGACUAGAGUACGGUAGAGGGUAGUGGAAUUUCCUGUGUAGCGGUGAAAUGCGUAGAUAUAGGAAGGAACACCAGUGGCGAAGGCGACUACCUGGACCGAUACUGACACUGAGGUGCGAAAGCGUGGGGAGCA
rnacentral:rRNA from 1 species